AACUUUCGGCAAUGGAUCUCUUGGCUCUCGCAUCGAUGAAGAACGCAGCGAAAUGCGAUAAGUAAUGUGAAUUGCAGAAUUCAGUUAAUCAUCGAAUCUUUGAACGCACCUUGCGCUCCUUGGUAUUCCGAGGAGCAUGCCUGUUUGAGUGUCAUUAAUAUAUCAAACCUCUCUUGUUGAGUGUUUGGAUGGUGGGGGUGAUUUUUUGCUGGUCUCUUUUCUGAGGGUCAGCUCCCCUGAAAUGCAUUAGCGGAACCCCGUUCAUUGGUGUGAUAAAUAUCUACGCUAUUGACGGUUAAGCAAGUUCAGCUUCAUUGACUCAUUAAUGUGACCUCAAAUCAGGUAGGACUACCCGCUGAACUUAAGCAUAUCAAUAAGCGGAGGCU
rnacentral:misc_RNA from 1 species